UACGGGGGGGGCAAGCGUUGUUCGGAAUUACUGGGCGUAAAGGGCUCGUAGGUGGCCAACUAAGUCGGACGUGAAAUCCCUCGGCUUAACCGGGGAACUGCGUCUGAUACUGGAUGGCUUGAGUUCGGGAGAGGGAUGCGGAAUUCCAGGUGUAGCGGUGAAAUGCGUAGAUAUCUGGAGGAACACCGGUGGCGAAGGCGGCUCACUGGUCCAUUACUGACGCUGAGGUGCGAAAGCGUGGGGAGCAAACAGG
rnacentral:rRNA from 1 species